rnacentral:lncRNA from 1 species
GCAAAUGGAGUAAUAAAUUAAAUUAUUCAAAUAAAACAACGACGCUAAGGCAAAACUACCAACGAAAGCUGAUUUCACAUGCAGGGAGAUGGCAGAAGGAUUAAGGAGAACAGAGGAAACAACCAUUUUGCCACCGAUAAAUUUUGAUGCUUAGCUUAUUAGCGCCAAAGGCGGGAAAACAAAAGGGCACCAAUGUCGGUCACAUGUCCUUUAAAACUACCUCGUUAGUCGGUAGCGCACACAGCACAUGACCAUAUAAAAGGGGUCAUGGAGGUCUUUCGAGGCCACGUUGUCUUUUUCCACAAUACUAUAAUAGCAAAACCCGUAACAUAAAAUACCCAAAUUCAAACAAGCAAUUAGGCAUAAAAAUGCAAAUCCAUAGACAUCAUGACAAACUCGAACAAAGUAAACAAGACAGAGACCCAACCAAUGACGACUAGGAGAAUCCAACUAAAAAACACUGCCCCACACAGAACACAGAAAUGCACUCCAAAUGUCCCUCUCCCCCAACCCCUCCUUUUAUUUCAACUCCUUAGAAGCUAUAAUAAUACGAUCAACUUUAUUACAUGAAGAAAGUAGCAACACUUGUCACCGAGGGUGAGAGAAUAACACCCUAAAGAAGUCACUCCUCCUCUGAUUCUGACUCAGCAUUCUGAAGCCACUCAACCAAAGGCUUCAUAUUCUUCCAGACUGGCGAGCUUUUGUUGCCACCACUCAGUCCCUUCUGGUACCACUCUAGGAUGAACUCCUCUUCCAGCACAUCCUUGUCAUACAACACUUUAACAGCCAAAGGUACCUCCUUCAGUACUUCAGGGCUUGCAUUAUCACAGAAAGACUCAAAAGCAUGCAACAGAAGCAUCUGUGAUCCCUCCUCUUGAACUGCUGCUGCUAGGUAGUUCUUCUUUUUCGUUACCUCCUUAGAAAACCCUUUCUCAACACCUCCAAAGAGAGCAGCAAACAGAGCAUUAAUGACUUCUUGAGGUGUCCCAGAGAGCGAACUCAAGAAGGAUUUCAGCUGGCUUGCAGGAGAACCCAUUUGCAGAUAUCCCUUUAUCUCAUUAACAAGGCCUUCUGAGGGGUCAUUGCUUUUAAUGCCAUUCUGGUGAGACUUGGCUUCCCGUUCUGGAGACUUCUUUCCUGACUUGGCCUUUUCUUCAACUGUGGAUAGCAUUACCAUAUCUGCAGUAACAGCACUCAACUGCUCCUGUAUGCGUUGUUUAGCUGCCUCCAGAGAAGUAUCUGUUUGCCACUCAACAUCAUCCUCAUCAUCAUUGUCAUCAUUAGCAAUCCCGUGGUCAUUCUCAUCAGCUUGGCUGCGAGCUGGUGAGUGGUCCUCAUCCGAGCCGUUGCUUUUCUUCUUGGAUGAUGUACCUUUAGAAAGGUCCUUAGAACUACCAGACGAGCCCUUCUUCUUGGUCUCCUUUUUGUGCUUCUUCAUCUCCUCAUCAGCAGCCUCACCUUCCUUCAGCCGUUCCUUCUCAGCCCUCCUCAUAGCCUUCUUGUCUUUCGAUCCCUUCUUUGGCUCAGGCGGGCUCUUAAGAAUAAAUGUUGUAAGCUUAUCCCUCAUAUCAACAUCAGAGAUGAAUCCACAUGCAGCACACUUUAGGGUGAUCAUUUGUGUCUUAGUGAUAACUAUCUCAGUUUCAGGGUUACCACAGCCAUAACACUGCACAUACUUCUUGAUGAAGUUCUCAAGCAAGCCAGCAAGCUUUGCAGUAUCAUGGGCUCCAUUCACAAGUGAAGUUCCAGUUUUCUCAUCAAACUUGGAUUGGGCUCCAAGCUCAUUGCCAAAGUACUUUGUUGUGUAGGAAGCAGGUCUAGCCAAGGCCUUAGCAAUCUCAACCAUGUUAACAACGUUAGUUUUGAUGCCAUUUCCCCUACCUUCAAUCUUGGUUAUCAUUUUUGGCAUCUUGUACCUGUAAAAGGCAUCAUCACUGUUGGAAGCACCAAUAUUUUGCAGCGCCAUCUUGCUUGUACUGAUGGAGAUACCAGUAUCUCGUUAAUCAAAAGGGACAAAAACCAGAGGCGUUAUGUUCUUUAUCAAACAGGUUCCUUGAAGAUGAGAAAGGCCGCAUAAACUGGCAACCUAUGUAGUCUGUGCUAUGGCCCUCAAAUAACCCAAGAUGCAUGCAGCCAACCUUAGUUGACGAAUGUCUGAUCUUUUUUCUAGACGUAGGACAGUACUCUCCAAGUAAUCCAAUUGAUGACAGAAAAAGUGAGGACCGUUCAGACAUAAAAAAAGCUUCAAACUUAACAAGCUCCACUUUGGAUGAACUGCAGACGAAGCAGACAAAACUGCCAACUUCCUGAGAGGAACACAUUGAGUUAUUUAAGAAAACUGGGGGGGUGGGGGACAGAGCAAUAAUGCAGUCGUUAAACCCAUGUCACAAUAUUAGUAAAGCAUGUAUUACAGAGAAAAUAGAAAGGAAGUGACAGCUCAUACAUAAAACUAAAACAAACAACGACCUAAACAAUCCCACACCAAACAACCAAAGGGCAGAUGAAUUUGUAUGAGCAGUGGCAUGGAACUGAUUAAACGAUUUCAUGUGCGUGUACCACAGGACUUGAUGUCAAACCAAUAUAACAACCUACCAAUAAAGCAAAUUGUCUAAGAAUAUAGACGUACAAGAAAUGGAAUUGGUGAGGUGAGACUGAUAGCAAAGGUGUAAGGUUGGACUGGUAACAGAGGUUGUACUGCUCAGAAAACAGAUAUAGCAACUAAGAACAGAUCAAACUCAACUUCUUUUAAUUGUUUAUACAGAACUUAUUUAGCUAUUAGAAAUAAUGCAAUAAUGAAAAAGCAUAUUUGAUAGAGAGAUGAAUUUAACAGGCAGUUAAGACAAGAAAAGUAAAAUACUUCUCAAAAAUUAUUUCUUUCCUUGCCGGUACUUGUUUUUUGCUUGCAAAAUAAUAAUGACAAAGAGAGAGCCUAAUCAAACAGAUAUAGCUUUUAUCUCUUCAUGAAAGAACUAAGAUAGAGAGCUAUGCAAAUACUUAUAGAUCAGAGAUCUAAAAGAUAAAAACACUACAAAUAGCCAAGGAUAUCUAAUUUGUAAAGCAAGAAAUAUCUGCAUAUUUAACCAAUAACAAAAGAAGGUGUUGAGCUGAUGAUUCCGAUAAAAAUCCCUAACCUAGGGAACAAUCAUAAAAUAUGUACAUGUGCAUAAGAAAACAAUUACGCCAAAUACAUGAUCAGCUUUCAACGAUUCCGCUAAGCAGAUGACAGUUUAGCUCCACCCAAACACACAACUUAUACAAACCCCAAUCACUAACCAAAAUCCGAAAAGAUCAAAACCAGAAGCUAAACCCGAUAUUGCAUCGACCAAUCCAAACAACUUAUAUCUAGAUAGCAAAAUUAAUAAUAAUAAUGAUAAUAAUAAUAAUAAUUAAAACGGGGGAGGGGGAGAUUAUUCACAGAUCUAAAACGAUUUUAACAAAAAUAAAAAAAAAUUAUAGCUCCGAUUAAACGAAACUCGCUUGAAUCAGACGUUACUCGCUUCAAGACGAAGAAGAAAUACAACCAAUGGAACAAAGAAAAUAAUCGAAAAACAUAACAAUAAACAAUAAUCGAUUACAAUAAAACCGAACGGAUCGAAUAAAGACUCGGGAAAUUUACCUUAGAAUGAAGAGAAAAAGAGGAUCGUCGAAAGGGUGGGUCUCUGCUCUGCGUAAGAGAUUGUGAAACGCUUUGGGGGAGAGCAAUGCUUUUAUACAGAGAAAUGA